CUACGGGAUGCUGCAGUGGGGAAUAUUGCACAAUGGAGGAAACUCUGAUGCAGCAACGCCGCGUGGAGGAUGACACUUUUCGGAGCGUAAACUCCUUUUAUAUAGGAAGAUAAUGACGGUACUAUAUGAAUAAGCACCAGCUAACUCCGUGCCAGCAGCCGCGGUAAUACGGAGGGUGCAAGCGUUACUCGGAAUCACUGGGCGUAAAGAGCGUGUAGGCGGGUUAAUAAGUCAGAAGUGAAAUCCUAUGGCUCAACCAUAGAACUGCUUUUGAAACUGUUAACCUAGAGUGUGGGAGAGGUAGAUGGAAUUUCUGGUGUAGGGGUAAAAUCCGUAGAGAUCAGAAGGAAUACCGAUUGCGAAGGCGAUCUGCUGGAACAUAACUGACGCUGAGACGCGAAAGCGUGGGGAGCAAACAGGAUUAGAUACCCGUAGUC
rnacentral:rRNA from 1 species